CAUUCAUGUGAUGUUCAAUUUAAACUUGUUUGCUUUAUUUCAAAAACAGGACAAGGAAAAUCUAACUUGAUUUGUGUAAUUGAGAAGAAAUAUGGCAGUUGCCUAUGGUGGUUUUUUAAAAAAAUCAUCCAGGGGAUGUGGGCUUCGCUGGCUGGGCCAGCAUUUAUUGCCCAUCCCUAGUUGCCCUUGAGAAGGUAGAGGUGAGCUGCCUCCUUGAACAGACUAUGUGGAAUAUGUUUAGAGCUUUGAAGUCAGGAAUCGAGCAGAGUGCCAUAGCUCUCACGUCACCAAACAAUUCCUUGAACUUAACGACCAGAGAGACCUGAGAUUCCCACAGACCAGCCAGGAAUAAAAUUGGAGCAAUGAUGUAGAGACUCAGCAGUAAAAAGGAGCUCCAAUGACUUCUUGGAAUGAUAAACUACUUAAGAUGACUUAUGAAGUCGGAUGGGUAGCCCAGCUUGUGCUCUCACAAGAUUGAAGUUGGAAACAAUGAUAUACAGCAGAAUAUUUAAUAUUGAUAUGAAUGGACAUUUGUCCUGAUAUUGAAAUAAAUACAUUUGUGAU